GGGUUAUUGGCAUGUCGGGUGAUUGCGGCUGUCUGUUAAACAGUUCUAGAAAGGUUCGAGUCCUUUAUAGCCCUCCA
rnacentral:tRNA from 1 species